rnacentral:rRNA from 1 species
UCAUGCCGAAAUAAGGCGAAACCGCGAAUGGCUCAUUAAAUCAGUUAUGGUUCCUUAGAUCGUUUCUUCCUACUUGGAUAACUGUGGCAAUUCUAGAGCUAAUACAUGCAGUGAGCCUGGAGCCCUUUGGGUAACGGGUGCUUUUAUUAGACCAAGAUCGAUCGGGUUUCGGCCCGUAUUGUGUGGUGACUCUGGAUAACUUUGUGCUGAUCGCAUGGCCACGAGCCGGCGACGUUUCUUUCAAGUGUCUGCCUUAUCAACUUUCGAUGGUAGGUUACUUGCUUACCAUGGUUGUUACGGGUAACGGAGAAUCAGGGUUCGAUUCCGGAGAGGGAGCCUGAGAAACGGCUACCACAUCCAAGGAAGGCAGCAGGCGCGCAAAUUACCCACUCCCGGCACGGGGAGGUAGUGACGAAAAAUAACAAUACGGGACUCUUUUGAGGCCCCGUAAUUGAAAUGAGUACACUCUAAAUCCUUUAACGAGGAUCAAUUGGAGGGCAAGUCUGGCCCCAGCAGCCA